UGACCUCGGAUCAGGUAGGGAUACCCGCUGAACUUAAGCAUAUCAAUAAGCGGAGGAAAAGAAACCAACCGGGAUUGCCUCAGUAACGGCGAGUGAAGCGGCAAGAGCUCAAAUUUGAAAGCUGGCUCCUUCGGGGUCCGCAUUGUAAUUUGCAGAGGAUGCUUCGGGUGCGGCCCCUGUCUAAGUACCCUGGAACGGGUCGUCAGAGAGGGUGAGAAUCCCGUCUGGGAUAGGGUGUCCGCGCCCGUGUGAAGCUCCUUCGACGAGUCGAGUUGUUUGGGAAUGCAGCUCUAAAUGGGUGGUAAAUUUCAUCUAAAGCUAAAUACUGGCCGGAGACCGAUAGCGCACAAGUAGAGUGAUCGAAAGAUGAAAAGCACUUUGAAAAGAGAGUUAAAAAGCACGUGAAAUUGUUGAAAGGGAAGCGCUUGCGACCAGACUCGCCCCCGGGGUUCAGCCGGCAUUCGUGCCGGUGUACUUCCCCGAGGGCGGGCCAGCGUCGGUUUGGGCGGCCGGUCAAAGGCCCCUGGAAUGUAGUACCCUCCGGGGUACCUUAUAGCCAGGGGUGCAAUGCGGCCAGCCUGGACCGAGGAACGCGCUUCGGCACGGACGCUGGCAUAAUGGUCGUAAACGACC
rnacentral:rRNA from 1 species